ACUGGAAAUUUUUGGAAGUGGGGUGCGAGGAAAGAUCAUUUCUCUUCUCUCUUAUAUAUAUACACACACACACACACACACACAUACAAAGAGAUCAAACCAGAUCUUUCCUAUGCCCCCCAUUCCACUGAUUUCUAG
rnacentral:pre_miRNA from 1 species